rnacentral:rRNA from 1 species
AUGGAGAAGGAAGCGGCAGCAUGGGCGGCGGCGGCGGCGGCUGCAGCACCGGCGCCCGAAUCCCAUGGGACCGCGGGGAAGUGGGCUAGGAACAGCGACUGCGACGAGACCGCCGGCGAUUUCAUCAGCAGGCUCCCCGACGACAUCCUCGGCACCGUCAUCUCCCUCCUCCCCACCAAGGACGGCGGCCGCACCCAGGCCCUCUCCCGCCGUUGGCGCCACCUGUGGCUCUCCGCGCCUCUCAACCUCGAGGUCCGCAACCGUCCACCUCGGUGCUUCCCCGGCGUCCCCGCCCUCACAUCCGUUGUCCCCCGCGCCGCCAUCUCAGAGAUACUCUCCCGACACCCAGGCCCUACCCGCCGAUUGUACAUAAACUGCCCCCGCUCCGGGUUCCUCUUUUUCUGGGCGCAGGAGUGGUUUCAAUCCCGAGCCCUCGCCAACCUCCAGGAGCUCGAUAUCAGCCACGCCAACUCCCCGCUGCUGGAAACAGUGCUCCACUCUGCAUCCACCAUCCUCGUUGCCAAGAUCAGCCAUUGCGAUCUCUCUGAAAAGAUCGAGCCGUGCAUGAAUUUUCCCCUCCUCAAGAAGCUCACCCUGUUUUACAUUUCCAUCUCAGAGCAUGUCUUGCACAGACUGCUCUCUGGCUGCCAUGCCUUGGAGAGCUUAUACAUGGCCGAAGUUCGUGCUGCGGGUUGCCUCCGUGUUAGCUCGCCUACUAUUACGACCAUCAUCUUCCGUCAUAGCUCUAGUGAAAAAGCGGAAUUGGUCAUCGAAGAUGCUCCCUGCCUUCUAAGGUUGCUAUUAACUGAUUGUAACCGAGACGAUUGUGUCACUGUCAGGGUGAUUAGUGCGCCUAAUCUGAAGAUAUUGGGUCCUUUCCUGGUUGUCGUUUCCAAGCUCCUGCUCUUCCAGGGAAUAAGCUCUGUCAGCUCCACAAACUCGAUGCACACCUUGAAGGUUUUGGCUCUCAAGCCUUCUGGAGAUAAAUUGCUUGCAGUUCUUAACAUCCUUAGGUGGUUCCCCUGUUUGGAAAAGCUCUGUAUUAUUUUUCAUAAACACUAUGAGAUGCAUGAGGAAAAUGAGCCUCAGUAUGACCCACUGCAUCCAAUCGAAUGCCUUGAGUCCCAUCUCAAAAAAGUGGUGUUUAAGUCAUUCCAGGGCUAUAGGAGACAGGUUGAAUUUGCCAGGUUCUUUGUAUUGAAUGCAAAGGUGCUAGAUAAGAUGGAAUUUGAAGUAUAUAAUCACUACCGCAGUGAAAUGGUGGCUUAUCAAUAUAGGCUGCUACAAGUGGAAAACAGAGCUUCUCGACAUGCUCGGUUUGAAUUCAGGACUACAUCCAUGCCCAUAAACAUGUCCAUGAUUUCUCAGUGGUUGCCCUUCAGACCCAUACACAGGGUUGAUGCCUGA